UGUGAUGUUUCAAAUUAAGUUUUGGUGUAGCAUUGAGAUAGAUUGGUUAUUAAACUGUGUUGUAAUAUUUGGACAAAUUGGUCCUGUUUUAAAUUUUGGUGUAGUGUGUGGACAUAGCAGGUUUCGGUUAAGCUGUCAAGGGCGUUUUAGCUAUUUCAACUGCUAUCAUUCUUGUCUAAAAAUUUGAGUUAUGAGUGUUUAUGAAUA
rnacentral:lncRNA from 1 species